rnacentral:rRNA from 1 species
CNUACGGGAAGGCAGCAGUGGGGAAUAUUGGACAAUGGGCGCAAGCCUGAUCCAGCCAUACCGCGUGGGUGAAGAAGGCCUUCGGGUUGUAAAGCCCUUUUGUUGGGAAAGAAAUCCAGCCGGCUAAUACCUGGUUGGGAUGACGGUACCCAAAGAAUAAGCACCGGCUAACUUCGUGCCAGCAGCCGCGGUAAUACGAAGGGUGCAAGCGUUACUCGGAAUUACUGGGCGUAAAGCGUGCGUAGGUGGUUAUUUAAGUCCGUUGUGAAAGCCCUGGGCUCAACCUGGGAACUGCAGUGGAUACUGGAUGACUAGAAUGUGGUAGAGGGUAGCGGAAUUCCUGGUGUAGCAGUGAAAUGCGUAGAGAUCAGGAGGAACAUCCAUGGCGAAGGCAGCUACCUGGACCAACAUUGACACUGAGGCACGAAAGCGUGGGGAGCAAACAGGAUUAGAUACCCUGGUAGUCCACGCCCUAAACGAUGCGAACUGGAUGUUGGGUNCAAUUUGGCACGCAGUAUCGAAGCUAUCGCGUUAAGUUCGAAGCCUGGGGAGUACGGUCGCAAGACAG